AAAAGUUGGCAUCAUCAAGAUGUGUUGCAAUCAUUCCAAAAGCCUUUCUUUUAUGACGUUUGUACUCCUUCUUCACCUUGAUAUCAGCAUUGUGACUUGGAGGGUCUUCACUUUCAUCAAUAAUGUUCCAAAAGUCAAAUGAAGCCAACAAAAGCUCCAUUUUCUUUUACCAAUGGUAAAAUUUGUCACCCCUAAACUUUCUAAUCA
rnacentral:lncRNA from 1 species